UUAAUAGGGAGAGUUGGCAACGGCAAUGACAUUAGAAUAUGGGAGGAUCCAUGGUUACCACGAGGAGAGACACGGCAGCCGUCAUCCCACCAGGGACGGGGUCUUCUCUCUCGUGUAUCUGAACUUAUCAACCCAAUAUAUGGAACAUGGGAUCAUGACCUGGUAAAGGGGUGCUUUCAUCCGGAUGACGUCCCAACAAUUCUGAGCAUACCCAUCAGCGACAAUGCAAACGAUUUCUUGGCUUGGCACUUUGACAGCAAAGGCGUCUUUUCAGUCAAAUCAGCAUACAAGGUUCAUGUGAAUAUGCUCAAGCGUGAGAUGAAUAUAAGUAGACGGGGAGUUGAGCUUUAUACGAGAUGUGCAGUUUGUGGGCGACUGUUUGAAGAUGGUGGCCAUCUUUUCCUCAAGUGCAAGUUUGUCAAACAGAGGUGGCGAGCGCUACAACUGGAAGAUGUUAGAAGGCACCUAGCUGAUUGCAGCUCGGCCAAGGAGGUGGUGCACGCUACCUUGAGGCUGACUGAAGAAAAGAAAUUGCUUACAGUGGCGCUUUUAUGGUGCUGGUGGCAGGAGCGUAACAAGGGCAGGCAUGGCGAACGCCAACUCAACACUGAAGAAUUUCAAUUCACAGUCCGUAGGCAUGUCAGUGAGUGGAUAUAAUUUCUAGCACCAAAGCUUUCUUCCCAGCAAAUCCCUCGCAGUUCCUGGAAAGCACCGCCGCAGGACAUGGUGAAGAUAAACGUGGAUGCGGCGUUUUCAGCAGAAACAUGAAAGGGUGGCUUGGGCUUUAUAUGCAGAGACUACUCAGGAGAAAUUCAGUUUGCAGCAGCAGGGGCUGGGCAAGAUUACUCUUGCGCUCUGCAUGCUGAGACAGAGGCUUUGCGCCAAGCGGUGGCCAGAGCCAUGUUUGAAACGGACAACUCGACCCUUGUGGAAGCUAUAGCCUCCAAUGAGUUUGACUAUGCACCCUUGGGCAACCUAUUCAGAGAACUUAAGCUGAAGUUGGCCAUUCAGUUCAUCCAAGCAAGUGUAGUACAUGUUAGCCGUGAUUGUAACAUGCCAGCCCAUGUGUUGGCCGCGUUGGGUACAGGGUUAGCAAUCGGUGCCGAUCGUCAAUGGUUUGAUAGCUACCCUGAUGAUGUAACCCGUGCUGUAACCGGCGAUUCCGCCGUGUCUUAA
rnacentral:rRNA from 1 species